rnacentral:rRNA from 1 species
AUGACUGGCCAAGGGGUCUGGCAGGGAGACCCGAUCUCCCCAUUCUUAUUCAACCUUGUGGUUGAUGUGCUCGCCUCGAUUCUGGACUUGGCCAAGCGUGCGGGUCACAUUAGAGGGGUUUGCCCUCAUUUGGUGACACCUGGAGGUUUAACCCAUAUCCAAUACGCGGACGACACUAUUAUGAUGGUGGAGGGAUCUGAUGAGGAUAUUUAGAACCUCAAAUUCCUCCUCUGCUGCUUCCAGGAAAUGUCGAGCCUCAAAAUAAACUUUGCCAAGAGCGAGGUAAUGGUCAUGGGAUACUCCCAACGGGAGGCCCAACGGAUUGCUUAUCGUCUGAACUGCCUCUUGGGUUCCUUAUGA